CUCUGAGGCACCAACCAGAUACAGCUGCUGCCUCUCAAAGAGGAGGACACGUUCCUGGGACCUGGUUACAUAGAGCUCAGCUGUGAAACCAUCUGUUCCUGGUGCCUUUUGUGAUGGUGGAUCUUUAACCACCUUUCCAGUCUCCCUGUGGGGCAGGAGUUCGAAUUCUGAGCCUGAGAAUGGGUCCAUGAAAGGCCACAGGAGCCUCCCUGGAAGGGCAGAGAUUCCUCAGUGUCCGGCUGCUGAAGCACCUGUGAGGCACCUCUGGGACCCCCAGAAGGGAACUGGAGAAGGCUGUUGAGGCA